rnacentral:rRNA from 1 species
AAAUAUUAAUUCACACCCACCAACGCCAGGGUAUUACGAGCCCUAGCUUGAAACCCAAAGGACUUGACGGUGUCCCAUCCACCUAGAGGAGCCUGUUCCAUAAUCGAUAAUCCCCGCUAUACCUAACCACCCUUUGCCAAUCAGUCUGUAUACCUCCGUCGCAAGCUUACCAUAUGAAUGCUUAUAGUAAGUUUAAUGACCACAAACACCAAUACGUCAGGUCAAGGUGCAGCUCAUAAGGUGGCAAGCAAUGGGCUACAAUUUCUAUAUUAGAACAAACGAAACACUGCAUGAAACACAGUCACGAAGGCGGAUUUAGUAGUAAAAAGAAAAUAGCGUGUUCUUUUUAACUAGGCCCUGGGACGUGU